GCCGUUCCAACCGUCCAACCCGAAGACCCGAUCCCCUCCCCUUAACUCUUAUCACCGCCCCCCCUUCCCUCACCUCGCCUAAACAGCCCACUCCAUGCACGCUCGACGGAGUACGAAGGAGCGCAACUGCAGAUCGUACACUAUCUACCUCGUUCUCCCUAACCCUAUCGCCACCCAGCGCAAAAGAGAGCAGGCGAAUUUGUGCGUGGGCGCGCCAGCAGGUGACUGAGUUGACUUCCUCCAGUCGCCAACACCAUCGCCUCCACGACCCACGUUGUGGGAGACUGGGAACCGCCUCCGAAUCUUUUUCCUUUAUGCGCCUCCCAAUUCCCUUACCAUUCUGUCCACUCGUCGUCCCCUUGCCCACGCUUGCCCAGCAUGGGCUCGCCUGAGACUGCCUCGGGGAACGUCUGCAUUGCCGCGGUGGCGUCGAUGCUCUGGGUCGCAGGAGGAGAGGGAUGGGAGGAGGCGGCGGACGGAGAAGAGUCCGGGGCGCGGUCGAGCUUCAGCAUGCGGCCGGCGGCGAGGGAGGGCACGGGUGAUGAAGAAAAGGAGGACAGUGAGGUGGGAGACGGCAUCGGCGUGGUCUGCUCUCCAACCCCUCCAAUCUGGCACCCAAGGUGUUCAACGAUUUGCCACUUGAUGAACUUGACUACUUUGUACAUCUCCGGCGCCAUGGGGAACAACUACGGUGGCGGCGCAAGGCGGAUGCGCAUCCACCCCUCGGCGGCAGCGGCGAAGAUCCCAUCCAUGGCGAGGAGCUACGGCACCUCGGCGGCAGCGGCGAAGAUCCCAUCCACGACGAGGUUGGCGAAGGAGAUGGUGGCGGGCCCCUCUCGCGCCGCCAGCCACAUCCUCUGCGCAUCCGCGGCCCACCACCUCAGUCUCUUCCUCCCGCGCGCUGCCUGCACCUCACAAUCUCACGAGUCACGACUGCUUCGAUGUCCUAGGUAUGACUUCUUCCCCAAUUUUUUUUUUGGAAAAUAGUUUGCAUACACACCUUGCGUAGAUUGAUCUCGGAUGAUGAUGAACAAAAGUUGAAUUAAUGGGAUAUUGGUGGGAUUCUCUCUUCUGUGACUCCGUGUUCUUGUUACUCGGUUUGUCCUGCCAUCCACACCGCCGGUAAGUCUUCUCGGAACUAGAUGACACAGCAUUGUUCCAGCCAUAUUGGCGGGAAGUUCCACCUCUUUGUGCCGUAUGGAGGAGGGCCCAUCGGUGGUACUGCACCUCAGGCCACCUCAACACACUCAUGCUCACCAAAUAAGCAUUGGUCCUUAACUGUGUCUAUAGUUCUUUGUUAUGUUUUUGAUGAUUCACCGUGUUGCAUUACUGGACAAUUGGGUGGCAGCAGCAGCAGCAAGGUAAUAGUGGUAGUAUUUCUUUUUCAUUAGAACGACCCACUUUCGAUCGUUGGAGAUGUGCAGAAAUUUUCCGUCAUUAACCACAAGAUGGACAUUGAAAAUUAUCUACCUUUGGUUUGAAAUCUUCCUUGUAGUAGUUUAUUUUAAAUAACCAAUCAAUGGAAUAAAGUGUGUUUAAUCUCAUGAAUCAUCAGGCAACAGGCAUUAGGAUUUUGACUCUUGUCAAGGGUGGGUUGACCAGUUUACUUGUAGCCAACUCAAAUGGACUUUGACUCUUGAUUUAUCCAUUUUUAAGUUGAUACUUGAGAGUAUUAUUAUUUGUGUAGGCAGACUUGGUUGUGGUGAAUCCAUUUACAUGGUCCAUGGUCCCCUUGCAUGACAGCACUGCCAACAUUGUCUAUUGCAUGAGGACAGAGAAUAUUGAAUCUGUUAUGUACAAUGGUUGGUGGAUUAUGAAGGAUCAUAAGAUCAUGACGGUCUUUGGUGUAGCCCUGCCACAAACUAGCUUAAUUAGGGAAAGCCAUUCUUGAACUUGGAAAAUUAUGUGCUGGAGUACUCUGCAGAUUUCUAAAGAUAAGGAACUUGAAAUGGCAGCCAUUUUUCGUCACUCCAGACCAUGUCUGUACUAAGUAGAGAACAGAGAUAACUAAGAUAUACCACUGAUAGUAUCUCAUGGCUGUUUUAUUUCUCUGGUCCAGGAGGAAGUAAUUUCGUCAGCUGUAAAAAGAGCAAAUGACCUCCUUGCUCGAGCUGGCAUCAAUCUCCCAAAAAGGAUGAACUAUGUGUAGUAUCGAUAUUGCCGUCUCUUCAUGCAUUGCUGCAAUGCGGCUUGCUGUGUUGCAGAGCAAACUGGCCUGGCAGCGUUUGUGCUGGUCUUCUUCCACUUCUUUUGGCUGGCUUAGCUGCGGCUUUUGGAUGAUGUUUACAGGAUCCUCGCCAUGACCUUGUUUUCUGUUCAUAUCAGAUCUCUUGAAAGAAUUGUGCAGUGGCAUGUCUGGCUUCUGGAAUAAAGGCACCAUGGAGGUCUCAAAUUGUAUUAGUUAAAUAGUUGAAAGUUGAUAUCUUCCAUGGUGAUAAUGAAAGUUGAUAUCUUACAUCAACGGGCCAUCUGGUGCCUUUCUUUCUCCUGAUGCAUUUGUAGGCUGUUUGAGUCCAGAAUCUGUU